rnacentral:lncRNA from 1 species
AGGACAAAAAUCUGACGCAGGAUUGCACUGGGGGCUGCUGGUGCAGUCACUCUCCUUCCUCCAGUCUGGGGAAUGUGUCCUGUUGCGGAAACCCCACCCUGAGGCACCCUCUGUGAUUCUAGAUGCUCAUGGGCCCUGUCACCCAGGUCCACAGCCUGCUCUAAAUCCACGCACACAGCAAAAGGACUGUUUUCUCUGGCUAUGUUGACUGGCUCCCUCACUGUCCCCAGGGAGCAGGGCAGGGGGAACUAGAUAGUGAAAGGGCAGGGCUGACCAGGGUUCAGAGCCCCAGGGGAGGCCCAGCUCAGCUCCCUGCUUCUUUAUUACAGAAGAGCCAACUGCAGGACUGGCAAUAGGAGGGGAGCUGAGUAAAGCUCUCCUGGACUGUAUUCUGGUCUUUGAAAGGAAUCAUCUGGGCAGAAUUAGAAUGUCCAGAAGUGCUAAGUGUGGGUUGGUGUGGAGGUUCCCAAAGAAUAUGGGGACAAAAUAGUUCUGGAAUGCUGAUCCCUAGAGGAAGAUCCUACAGCUCCAUGCUCCAAGGACUUAUCCCUUCAGGGAAACGUUAGGACCCAUUGUCUGACCUGGAAAAAAACACCGAGAAGCACAUGGGCAGAAGGGACUAUUCAAGGGCUGGUAGGAAGUUGGUGCUUUGGCUGAAGGGAUGGUCUUCAGAGAGUGCUAGAGAAUGCUUUAGAGCUACAUCUGGCCUGGGGGGCCUGUCUUGUCUCUGCCUGUAUCUUGCCUGGUGGAGAUCAUUGCCACUGGCAGGGUCUCCACCCAAAUCCUGCCCCAGGGCUCUGUAUCCACCUCUUGUCUCCAGACACAUCUUCCUAAAUCCCAGACCGGCCCAGGCAUCCUCCGGGCUCACACGCUCUUAUAACUCCCCACUGCUGGAAGAGCACGUGCUCAGGCAAGUUGAGAGUGCACACAUACACACAGAUACCACAGGCCUCAAGCCCAGCGUCCUUAAGAGUGUGAACUCUGGGUUUGAAUGUGGUUGCUGCUGCCUACUAGCUGUGUGACCUUGGGUGGGUAAACUUAGGUCUCUGUGCCUCAGUUUCCCCAGUUAUAAAACAGGCAUUAUAGCAACCUGCUUCCUAGGGUGGUUGUGAGAACCAUGUGAACGCUCGCGGAGUGCUUAGGCCUCUGCUGGGUCUCAGGGAGCCGUGGGCAUGUAUUAACCGGGGCUCUUUCCCAGUCCUGUCGUGGGGCAUGUGGAGCCCUCCCCUUUCCACUCAGCAGUUUCAACUUGAAGCCUCCUCAGCCUUUCAAGGCCUCCCUGAGCUCCUGCCUCUUCUCUCAAGAGCUUUGGAUUUCCUGGUCAGUUGACAAGGGGACAUCCUUUUUUGUUCCCACCUGCCUCACUUAUCUUUGCCUAUCUGUUCCCCACCCUCUCUGUCCCCUGCCCUCCAAGUGCUUGAGGCCAACUCUGGGCCCCUGGAGGGUCAGCAGCCCUCUUUGUGGCCUGUUCCUUGCUUGCAGAGCUGCUUCUGUGUCACACCUGCACGUCCAUGUCCUUCUUCCCGUUUGCACUCUUCUCCCUGCCACUGCCCACCUCCCUCUUCCUCUUGUCUUCCCCUCUCUCCAUCUUUUCCUCUUUGAAUCUCCUUGCUUCUCUGACCUCCCCCACCUCUCUCUUAAUGAGAACUUUCACACAUCAUAUUGAUUUGGAGUUUUAAAAAGCCAGAAUUGAUUUUUCUGGGGGACUUUUCACGAUCUUAUUUUUAAAUGUAGGAAGAAAGCUGUUUCCAGAGCUGUUGACUUUGUUCUAUUGAGUUAGGAGUCGAUGUUGGAAACUCUUUUCCGGAGACUCAGAGAGCUCAGGGACCUCCAGUGCCAUAUCUAAUGAGCUGUGGGUGGGGGCCGCCCUCCCUUCUGCAGCCCGAGCCUGGGAGCAGAGGGCCCUGGCAGGGGGAGGCCUUGCACACUGGCCUGGGUUGGAGGAUGAGGCUAAAGAGCAUGUCCAGGGAGUGAGCACAGACAAAGCAGACAUACUAUAGGCCUUAUGGAGUAAGGGGCAGGCUGCGGGACAACAGUGGUGGGAAUUUGCAGACGAGGCCACAAUUUCUGCUGCUCUGGCAUCAGAGACAGGUUCUGGGGACCGUCUCAUCUAUUCCCACAUGUAGCAUGUACUGAUCUGACACCUGUGUUGCGUGCCCGGCCCUGUGCUGAGGGUUUUGCCCACAUCAUCUCAUUUAAUCCCAAUAACCCCAGGAUUCAAGUCAUAUUAUUUACACCUCACUUGAUGAGUAAGACAACAUUUUAGCAAUAAAUUCAAGUUAGUUAAGGGCAGGGGUCCGUGGGUGGCUCAGUCGGUUAAGUGUCUGCCUUCAGUUCAGGUCAUGAUCGCAGUCCUGGGAUUAAGCCUUGUGGCAGGCUCCCUACUCAGUAGGGAGUCUCCUUCUUCCUCUCCCUCUGCUCUUCCUUGUGCCCUGCUCCUGCUCAUUCUCUCUCCCUCGCAAAUAAAUAAAAUCUAAAAAACAAAAACAAAAA